CAGUAGCCGCGGUAAUACGAAGGGGGCUAGCGUUGCUCGGAAUCACUGGGCGUAAAGGGUGCGUAGGCGGGUUUUUAAGUCAGGGGUGAAAUCCUGGAGCUCAACUCCAGAACUGCCCUUGAUACUGGGAAUCUUGAGUAUGGGAGAGGUGAGUGGAACUGCGAGUGUAGAGGUGAAAUUCGUAGAUAUUCGCAAGAACACCAGUGGCGAAGGCGGCUCACUGGCCCAUAACUGACGCUGAGGCACGAAAGCGUGGGGAGCAAACAGGAUUAGAUACCCCAGUAGUCCCUGUCUCUUAUAC
rnacentral:rRNA from 1 species